rnacentral:tRNA from 1 species
GGAGGAGUGGCUGAGUGGUUGAAAGCGACCGCCUUGAAAGCGGUUGUCCACGCAAGUGGACCGUGGGUUCGAAUCCUACCUCCUCCGCCA